rnacentral:snoRNA from 1 species
GGAAUGUUCUCAGGAAGAUGUUAUAACCAUUCAGUUGUGUAUCUUUAAUUGAUGUUCCUAGAGUAAAUUUCGUGGAGUUUUAUUUAUUUCGCAAAUGAACUAUGGCUUCAUUUGGGUGUCGAUUUAAUUUCGUACA